CGCAAGGAAGAUGCAUCUUCUGAAGACUCUCCAAAAACUGCAACAUUGUUGCUCAACAAAACCGUGAAAGUCUGGAAAUUUGGUCCACAGCCGGGGAGGAAAGAUGCUUCGCAGCGCGCUCUUAAGGUGGGGCUGUCUGGACAUGUCUCAACUAUUCUUCUCAUCAAAGACGCCCCGCAACACCUGCAUGGCGGACCCCUACUGACCGCAGACGCAGUGUCUCACCACGAACACACAGCCCGCUUCCUCCUAAACCCCUCGCCACGUUGGGAGACCCCAAAUAACAAAAGACUACCAGACACCCUGGCGCCUCAGCUCCACAGGUUUCCUCUCACACCUACACGCUAACCUGACUUCAGAGACAACCAAUAACCAUAGUUCUUUUACUGGUGUCAAAAGGAACACCUAACCAUACCAUAUUUUUGACUGUUGCACAAAAGGGACGUUGAUUACGUCAUCCAUCAAAAGGGCAUUUGCAUAAA